UACGAAGGGGGCUAGCGUUGUUCGGAAUUACUGGGCGUAAAGCGCACGUAGGCGGAUAUUUAAGUCAGGGGUGAAAUCCCGGGGCUCAACCCCGGAACUGCCUUUGAUACUGGGUAUCUCGAGUCCGAGAGAGGUGAGUGGAAUUCCGAGUGUAGAGGUGAAAUUCGUAGAUAUUCGGAGGAACACCAGUGGCGAAGGCGGCUCACUGGCUCGGUACUGACGCUGAGGUGCGAAAGCGUGGGGAGCGAACAGG
rnacentral:rRNA from 1 species